GGGGAUUUAGCUCAGCGGCAUAAGCACCUGCCUUGCAAGCAGGCGGUCAUGAGUUCGAUCCUCGUACCA
rnacentral:tRNA from 1 species